UACGUAGGGGGGCAAGCGUUGUCCGGAUUCAUUGGGCGUAAAGAGCUCGUAGGCGGUUCAGUAAGUCGGGUGUGAAAGCUCCGAGCUCAACUCGGAGAGGCCACCCGAUACUGCUGUGACUUGAGUCCAGUAGAGGAGCGUGGAAUUCCUGGUGUAGCGGUGAAAUGCGCAGAUAUCGGGAAGAACACCCGUGGCGAAGGCGGUUCUCUGGGACGGUACUGACGCUGAGA
rnacentral:rRNA from 1 species